GGGAUGCAGUCUGGGACACGUAGUUGCAAACCUAGCGACUUUGUUGUUAGAUUCAAUGACUUUUCAGACCCCCUAACGACUUUUUUUUAGAAAGAAAGGGACUUUUAUCGACUUCUUCUGGAGUUUAGAGACUCUGACAUGAAGCAGGCUUUCCUUACUGAGGAGUUAGCAACGCUGCUAAGGGUGCAGAGCCACACAUGCGCUCAGAGCUCUGCAUGGGAGACUGAAGCUGACAGAGCUGCAGCAGUUAGCAGGUUUCACCCUCAGAGACCACCAGGGGUUCAUGUUGAGGCAUUUUAUUUUUUUUUUUUUUGUGCCAUAGACACUGUCAGCACAAUCUGCAGUUACACUAACAAAAAUGCUGCAAAAAACAAAGAAUUAUGGAAAAAUUACACAUGGACUGACAUAGAGGAGGAGCUACACAAGUUUUUUACAUCAUGUUUUACAUCAUGCAUCAUUUACAUCAUGUUUUUUUGUAGUGGCAUAAAUAAAAAGUGACAUUUGUGAGACUAUACAGUGUUUUGUAAAUAAAUUUACAAAGAACGCCUGGGCCAUUGCCUGCAUUUUGAUGAAAAUAGAGGUAAAUCACUAUGUUCUUUGUUAAAAAUUUGCAUAUGUUUUGAAGUUUACAAUUUUUAUUUGAAGUUUAAGUUUUAAAAACAGUUCAUCACACAUAUUUGUGGUUUUCACAGUAAAAAUGUUACUUUUUUCCACUCUGAUUUUAUGUUUUGUGUGUGAAUUUGGGUCCAUUGUGUAAAUUCAGUAUGUCAACAUGAUAAAAUAACUGUAAAUUCGCACAGGUGAGGUUGUGCUGAAAAAAAUGAUACCAGGCAAGGCACGUGAUUGUCAAAUUUUGUGUCAAUAUGACAAAGCGUAUAGGCUUGAAUCUCAACAAUAUGUAUUUUCACCUUAGGGGACAAGAAAAAAUGGACUUUUUUCUCCUGCCAUGGGGGGGCGCUCUUUUGGGGAGUAAAAAUUCCUUCACAAAUGUGUUGAUGGCUGGACAUUGCAUCAUCCUAGAAAACUUGGAGGCCAGUGAGGACAAAAAUAAAAAGUUAUAAGACUUUUAAAUAUGUGGAUUUUAGGGUUAUCUUUGGCGCCCCCUAGAACCUAAACCGUGGGGUGCAGCGUCAUGAUUUGAAUAACUUUUAAUGGCCAUGGGGUGUAGAUUGUCCUGAGCAAAUGUGGUGCCGGUGGAACGAAAGCCUUAGGAGGAGUUAGCCACAUUCCAAUGUGUGCGGAUCGGCAAAAAAUGCGGAAUAACCCUUUAACCGUACAUUUGACAGAUACGCGCGCAUUGACUUUUUCGUAGAUCUUAUUGAGUUACAUGUGUGUGUCAAUUUUUGUGUCAUUUUGACAAAGCGUAUAGGCGUGACACUCAACAAUGUGUAUUUUCACCUUAGGGGACAAGAAAAAAUUGACUUUUUUGUCCUGCCAUGGGGGGGCGCUGUUUUGGGGAGUAAAAAUUCCUUCACAAAUGUGUUGAUGGCUGGACAUUGCAUCAUCCUAGAAAACUUGGAGGCCAGUGAGGACAAAAAUAAAAAGUUAUAAGACUUUUAAAUAUGUGGAUUUUAGUGUUAUCUUUGGCGCCCCCUAGAACCUAAACCUUGGGGUGCAGCAUCAUGAUUUUGAUAACUUUUAAUGGCCAUGGGGUGUAGAUUGGCCUGAGCAAAUGUGGUGCCGGUGGAACGAAAGCCUUCGGAGGAGUUAGCGAAAUUCCAAUGUGUGCGGAUCGGCAAAAAAUGCGAAAUAACCCUUUAACCGUACAUUUGACAGAUACGCCCGCACUGACUUUUUUGUAGAUCUUAUUGAGAUACAUAUGUGUGUCAAUUUUUGUGUCAAUAUGACAAAGCGUACAGGCGUGACAGUCAAUAGUGUGAAUUUCCACCUUAGGGGGCGCUAUGGAGCCAUUUUGCAUUUUAUUGUUUGGGCGACUUCAGAAUAUCGAAUUUUUCACCAGGCCCGGUCGUCCUGCCAAAUUUCAUGAGUUUUCGCCAGUGGGAAGUGGGCCAUUUUCCAGUUCAAAGGGGAGGAAAAAGAUGAAACUAGGGCCCCGUUGGGGCACUGGCGGGCCCGAGCCGUGUCGCGCCGCCCCCAACACGACCGCCUCUCCCUACCGAUCGCGUCACACUCAAGGUCCAAAGAUGGUGUGCGCACUUGUCUGUGGUCAUUUACAAUUAUAAUGAAUGGGAGGCGCAGUUUCUACCAAAACGCUCGCCGCAGACAAACUACAUGUCCUAUUUGAAAAGGACUGGACCAUGAGUGAGGGCACAAACACAGCUAGGAUAUAUCCAAAUGGCAAGUUGCUCCUCCUUUCGGUUUUGCCGAGAGAGCGAUGUGUUUGAGUCAUUGAGCGAUGGGCAGGAAACUUUUUCUCCUGCCAUGGGGGGGCGCUCUUUUAGGGAGUAAAAAUUCCUUCACAAAUGUGUUGAUGGCUAGACAUUGCAUCAUCCUAGAAAACUUGGAGGCCAGUGAGGACAAAAAUAAAAAGUUAUAAGACUUUUAAGAAUGUGGAUUUUUGGGUUAUCUUUGGCGCCCCCUAGAACAUAAACCGUGGGGUGCAGCGUCAUGAUUUUUACAACUUUGAAUGGCCAUGGAAUGUAGAUUGGCCUGAGUAAAUUUGGUGUCAGUGGAACGAAAUAUUUAGGAGGAGUUAGCCACAUUCCAAUGUGUGCGAAUCAACCAAAAAUGCGAAAUAGCCCUUUAACCGUACAUUUUACAGAUACGCGCCCAUUGACUAUUUCGUAGAUCUUAUUGAGAAACACGUGAUUGUCAAAGUUUGUUACAAUAUGACAAAGCGUACAGGCGUGACACUCAAUAAUGUGAAUUUUCACCUUAGGGGGGAAGAAAAACUGGACUUUUUUCUCCUGCCAUGGGGGGGCGCUCUUUUGGGGAGUAAAAAUUCCUUCACAAAUGUGUUGAUGGCUAGACAUUGCAUCAUCCUAGAAAACUUGGAGGCCAGUGAGGACAAAAAUAAAAAGUUAUACGACUUUUAAGAAUGUGGAUUUCUGGGUUAUCUUUGGCGCCCCCUAGAACGUAAACCGUGGGAUGCAGCGUCAUGAUUUGUACAACUUUUAAUGGCCAUGGGGUGUAGAUUGGCCUGAGCAAAUUUGGUGCCGGUGGAACGAAAGCCUUCGGAGGAGUUAGCGAAAUUCCAAUGUGUGCGGAUCGGCAAAAAAUGCGAAAUAGCCCUUUAACCGUACAUUUGACAGAUACGCCUGCACUGACUUUUUUGUAGAUCUUAUUGAGAUACACGUGUGUGUCAAAUUUUGUGUCAUUUUGACAAAGCGUACAGGCGUGACACUCAAUCAUGUGAAUUUUUCACCUUAGGGGGCGCUAUGGAGCCAUUUUGCAUUUGAUUUUUUGGGCGACUUCAGAAUAUCGAAUUUUUCACCAGGCCCGGUCGUCCUGCCAAAUUUCAUGACUUUUCACCAGUGGGAAGUGGGCCAUUUUCCAGUUCAAAGGGGCAGAAAAAUAACUAGGGCCCCGGUGGGGCACUGUCGGGCCCGAGCCGCGUCGCGCCGCCCCCAGCGCGACCGCCUCCCCCUCCCGAUCGCGUCACACUCAAGGUCCAAAGAUGGUGUGCGCACUUGUCUGUGGUCAUUUCCCAUUAUAAUGAAUGGGAGGCGCAGUUUCUACCAAAACGCUCGCUGCAGACAAACUACAUGUCCUAUUUGAAAAAAGUCUGGACCAUGAGUGAGGGCACAAACACAGCUAGUAUAUAUCCAAAUGGCAAGUUGCUCCUCCUUUCGGUUUUGCAGAGAGAGCGAUGCGUUUGAGCCAUUGAGCGAUGGGCAGGAAAAACUUGACUUUUUCUCCUGCCAUGGGGGGGCGCUCUUUUGGGGAGAAAAAAUUCCUUCACAAAUGUGUUGAUGGCUGGACAUUGCAUCAUCCUAGAAAACUUGGAGGCCAGUGAGGACAAAAAUAAAAAGUUAUAAGACUUUUAAAAAUGUGGAUAUUUGGGUCCUCUUUGGCGCCCCCUAGAACGUAAACUGUGGGGUGCAGCGUCAUGAUUUGUACAACUUUGAAUGGCCAUGGGGUGUAGAUUGACCUGAGCAAAUUUGAAGCCGAUGGGACAAAAGAUUUAGGAGGAGUUAGCGAAAUUCCAAUGUGUGCGGAUCGGCAAAAAAUGCGAAAUAACCCUUUAACCGUACAUUUGACAGAUACGCCCGCACUGACUUUUUUGUAGAUCUUAUUGAGAUACAUGUGUGUGUCAAAUUUUGUGUCAUUUUGACAAAGCGUACAGGUGUGAGACUCAACAAUGUGUAUUUUCGCCUUAGGAGACAAGAAAAAAUGGACUUUUUUCUCCUGCCAUGGGGGGGCGCUCUUUUCGCGAGUAAAAAUUCCUUCACAAAUGUGUUGAUGGCUGGACAUUGCAUCAUCCUAGAGAACUUGGAGGCCAGUGAGGACAAAAAUAAAAAGUUAUAAGACUUUUAAGACUGUGGAUUUUUGGGUUAUCUUUGGCGCCCCCUAGAACGUAAACCGUGGGGUGCAGCGUCAUGAUUUGUACAACUUUUAAUGGCCAUGGGGUGUAGAUUGGCCUCAGCAAAUGUGGUGCCUUUGGAACGAAAGCCUUCGGAGGAGUUAGCGAAAUUCCAAUGUGUGCGGAUCGACAAAAAAUGCGAAAUAGCCCUUUCACCGUACAUUUGACAGAUACGCCCGCACUGACUUUUUUGUAGAUCUUAUUGAGAUACAUGUGUGUGUCAAUUUUUGUGUCAAUAUGACAAAGCGUAAAGGCGUGACAGUCAAUAGUGUGAAUUUUCGCCUUAGGAGACAAGAAAAAAUGGACUUUUUUCUCCUGCCAUGGGGGGGCGCUCUUUUGGGGAGUAAAAAUUCCUUCACAAAUGUGUUGAUGGCUGGACAUUGCAUCAUCCUAGAAAACUUGGAGGUCAGUGAGGACAAAAAUAAAAAGUUAUACGACUUUUAAGAAUGUGGAUUUCUGGGUUAUCUUUGGCGCCCCCUAGAACGUAAACCGUGGGAUGCAGCGUCAUGAUUUGUACAACUUUUAAUGGCCAUGGGGUGUAGAUUGGCCUGAGCAAAUUUGGUGCCGGUGGAACGAAAGCCUUCGGAGGAGUUAGCGAAAUUCCAAUGUGUGCGGAUCGGCAAAAAAUGCGAAAUAGCCCUUUAACCGUACAUUUGACAGAUACGCCCGCACUGACUUUUUUGUAGAUCUUAUUGAGAUACACGUGUGUGUCAAAUUUUGUGUCAUUUUGACAAAGCGUACAGGCGUGACACUCAAUCAUGUGAAUUUUUCACCUUAGGGGGCGCUAUGGAGCCAUUUUGCAUUUGAUUUUUUGGGCGACUUCAGAAUAUCGAAUUUUUCACCAGGCCCGGUCGUCCUGCCAAAUUUCAUGACUUUUCACCAGUGGGAAGUGGGCCAUUUUCCAGUUCAAAGGGGCAGAAAAAUAAUAAGAAGAAGAAGAAGAAACUAGGGCCCCGGUGGGGCACUGGCGGGCCCGAGCCGUGUCGCGCCGCCCCCAGCGCGACCGCCUCCCCCUUCCGGUCGCGUCACACUCAAGGUCCAAAGAUGGUGUGCGCACUUGUCUGUGGUCAUUUACCAUUAUAAUGAAUGGGAGGCGCAGUGUCUACCAAAACGCUUGCUGCAGACAAACUCCAUGUCCUUUUUGAAAAAAGUCUGGACCAUGAGUGAGGGCACAAACACAGCUUCGAUAUAUCCAAAUGGCAAGUUGCUCCUCCUUUCGGUUUUGCCGAGAGAGCGAUGCGUUUGAGCCAUUGGGCGAUGGGCAGUAAAAACUUAACUUUUUCUCCUGCCAUGGGGGGGCGCUCUUUUGGGGAGUAAAAAUGCCUUCACAAAUGUGUUGAUGGCUGGACAUUGCAUCAUCCUAGAAAACUUGGAUGCCAGUGAGGACAAAAAUAAAAACUUAUAAAACUUUUAAGAAUGUAUAUUUUUGGGUUAUUUUUGGCGCCCCCUUGAAUGUAAACCGUGGGGUGCAGUGUCAUGAUUUAUACAACGUAAAAUGGCUAUGGGGUGUAGAUUGGCCUGAGAAAAUUUAGUGAUGGUGGGAUGAAAGCUCUAGGAGGAGUUAGCCACAUUGCAAUGUGUGCGAAUCGGCAAAAAAUGCAAAGUAGCCCUUUAACCAUACAUUUUACAGAUACGCGCUUAUUGACUUUUUCGUAGAUCUAAUUGAGAUACACAUGAUUGUCAAUUUUUGUGUCAAUAUGACAAAGCGUUCAGGCGUGACACUCAACAAUGUGUAUUUUCAUGUAAGGGGACAAGAAAAAAUUGACUUUUUUCUCCUGCCAUGGGGGGGCGCUCUUUUGGGGAGUAAAAAUUCCUUCACAAAUGUGUUGAUGGCUGGACAUUGCAUCAUCCUAGAAAACUUGGAGGGCAGUGAGGACAAAAAUAAAAAGUUAUAAGACUUUUAAGAAUGUGGAUUUUGGGUUAUCUUUGGCGCCCCCUAGAACGUAAACCGUGGGGUGCAGCGUCAUGAUUUGUACAACUUUUAAUGGCCAUGGGGGGUAGAUUGGCCUGCGCAAAUGUGGUGCCGGUCGAACGAAAGCCUUCGGAGGAGUUAGCGAAAUUCCAAUGUGUGCAGAUCUGCAAAAAAUGCAAAAUAACCCAUUAACCGUACAUUUGACAGAUACGCCCGCACUGACUUUUUUGUAGAUCUUAUUGAGAUACAUGUGUGUGUCAAUUUUUGUGUCAAUAUGACAAAGCGUACAGCCGUCAUGUGAAUUUUCACCUUAGGGGGCGCUAUGGAGCCAUUUUGCAUUUUAUUGUUUGGGCGACUUCAGAAUAUCGAAUUUUUCACCAGGCCCGGUCGUCCUGCCAAAUUUCCUGAGUUUUCGCCAGUGGGAAGUGGGCCAUUUUCCAGUUUAAAGCGGAGGAAAAAUAAUAACUAGGGCCCCGGUGGGGCACUGUCGGGCCCGAGCCGCGUCGCGCCGCCCCCAGCGCGACCGCCUCCACCUCCCGAUCGCGUCACACUCAAGGUCCAAAGAUGGAGUGCGCACUUGUCUGUGGUCAUUUCCCAUUAUAAUGAAUGGGAGGCGCAGUUUCUACCAAAACACUCGCUGCAGACAAACUACAUGUCCUAUUUGAAAAAAGUCUGGACCAUGAGUGAGGGCACAAACACAGCUAGGAUAUAUCCAAAUGGCAAGUUGCUCCUCCUUUCGCUAUUGCUGAGAGAGCGAUGCGAUUGAGCCAUUGAGCGAUGGGCAGGAAAAACUUGACUUUUUCUCCUGCCAUGGGGGGAGGGGGGGGGGAUGUGGAUUCUUUUAAGAAUGUGGAUAUUUGGGUCAUCUUUGGCACCCCCUAGAACGUAAACCGUGGGGUGCAGCGUCAUGAUUUUUACAACUUUGAAUGGCCAUGGGGUGUAGAUUGGCCUGAGCAAAUUUGGUGUCAGUGGGACGAAAGCCUUAGGAGGAGUUAGCCACAUUCCAAUGUGUGCGAAUCGGCAAAAAAUGCAAAAUAGCCCUUUAACCAUACAUUUUACAGAUAUUUGCGCAUGACUUUUUCAUAGAUCUUAUUGAGAUACACGUGAUUGUCAAAUUUUGUGUCAUUUUGACAAAGCGUACAGGCGUGACAGUCAACAAUGUGUAUUUUCACCUUAGGGGACAAGAAAAAAUGGACUUUUUUCUCCUGCCAUGGGGGGGGCGCUCUUUUGGGGAGUAAAAAUUUCUUCACAAAUGUGUUGAUGGCUGGACAUUGCAUCAUCCUAGAAAACUUGGAGGCCAGUGAGGACAAAAAUAAAAAGUUAUAAGACUUUUAAGACUGUGGAUUUUUGGGUUAUCUUUGGCGCCCCCUAGAACCUAAACCGUGGGGUGCAGCGUCAUAAUUUAUACAACUUUUAAUGGCCAUGGGGUGUAGAUUGGCCUGAGCAAAUUUGGUGCCGGUGGAACGAAAGUCUUCGGAGGAGUUAGCGAAAUUCCAAUGUGUGCGGAUCGGCAAAAAAUGCGAAAUAGCCCUUUAACCGUACAUUAUACAGAUACGCGCUCUAUGACUUUUUCGUAGAUCUUAUUGAGAUACACAUGUGUGUCAAAUUUUGUGUCAAUAUGACAAAGCGUUCAGGCAUGACACUCAACAAUGUGUAUUUUCACCUUAGGGGACAAGAAAAAAUUGACUUUUUUCUCCUGCCAUGGGGGGGCGCUCUUUUGGGGAGUAAAAAUUUCUUCACAAAUGUGUUGAUGGCUGGACAUUGCAUCAUCCUAGAAAACUUGGAGGCCAGUGAGGACAAAAAUAAAAAGUUAUAAGACUUUUAAGACUGUGGAUUUUUGGGUUAUCUUUGGCGCCCCCUAGAAUGUAAACCGUGGGGUGCAGCGUCAUGAUUUGUACAACUUUUAAUGGCCAUGGGGUGUAGAUUGUCCUGAGCAAAUUUGUUGCCGGUGGAACGAAAGCCUUCGGAGGAGUUAGCGAAAUUCCAAUGUGUGCGGAUCAGCAAAAAAUGCGAAAUAGCCCUUUAACCGUACAUUUGACAGAUACGCCCGCACUGACUUUUUUGUAGAUCUUAUUGAGAUACACAUGUGUGUCAAAUUUUGUGUCAUUUUGACAAAGCGUACAGGCGUCAGGUGAGUUUUCACCAUAGGGGGCGCUAUGGAGCCAUUUUUCAUUUUUUUGUUUGGGCGACUUCAGAAUAUCGAAUUUUUCACCAGGCCCGGUCGUCCUGCCAAAUUUCCUGAGUUUUCGCCAGUGGGAAGUGGGCCAUUUUCCAGUUUAAAGCGGAGGAAAAAUAACGAAAGAAGAAUCCAUCAGGAACAAGAGGGCUCUCGCAGCUGCUUAGCAGCUACGCUCGGGCCCUAACUAGGACCCCGUUGGGGCACUGGCGGGCCCGAGCUGUGUCGCGCCCCCCCCCCAACGCGCUGCCUCCCCGUCCCAUUCGCGUCCUCUGGCCAUCGUCCUCUCUGGUGACGCCCAUCACUGCAAAGACCCUUUUCCUUCAUCGGGGUUUGCUGUUCUUCCUGCCAGUGCGUGUUGCUUUCACUUACACUUGCCACAGCCAGCCUCUUGAGUGCCUAGCCUAUUGGAUAUCACUGUCACCUACACAGGACAGUCAUUACCUUUCUGUUAAUACUUUGUUUUUUAAUUUCACAUUAAUUUCCAUAUUGUAUAAACAACUGGAAAAAACUUGAGCCCCUGCCCCUGUAUAAUCAUGUGCACGUCUCUGUUCUAGCUCUAAGGUGAAUCUUCACUGCUCAUGUUCUCCUCAGAAGCAGUCACCUCACUCCCCUCAGGUUACUGUACACAUGCACCAACUGCCUGCUUCAGGUUUGGAUGGAGCUUCAUGGUUGUCUUUUGGAGAAAUGAACAGUCAAGUUGUGUUUGAAAUUUGAUUUUUUUCAGGGGCAAAAGGAAGCCUCUGCAUUCUUGUCAAAUAUGUAAACAGCAUGUUUUUGCAGGUGCUAAAAAACAGACUCUGAGUGUGUGUGUGUGUGUGUGUGUGUGUGUGUGUGUGUGUGUGUGUAUCCUGCAGUACUCUGUACUCCUGCAGUGACCAAAAAGACUUUUAAGAAUGUGGAUUUUUGGGUCAUCUUUGGCGCCCCCUAGAACUGCAGUACUCUUUACUCCUGCAGUGGCCAAAAUGACUUUUAAGAAUGUGGAUUUUUGGGUCAUCUUUGGCGCCCCCUAGAACGUAAACCGUGGGGUGCAGCGGCAUGAUUUUUACAACUUUGAAUGGGCAUGGGGUGUAGAUUGCCCUGAGCAAAUUUGGUAUCGGUGGGACGAAAGCCUUAGGAGGAGAUAGCCACAUUCCACUGUGUGCGAAUCGGCAAAAAAUGCGAAAUAGCCCUUUAACCGUACAUUUGACAGAUACGUGCCCAUUGACUUUUUUGUAGAUCUUAUUGAGAUACACGUGAUUUUCAAAUUGUGUGUCAAUAUGACAAAGUGUAUAGGCGUGACACUCAACAAUGUGUAUUUUUACCUUAGGAGACAAGAAAAAAUGGACUUUUUUCUCCUGCCAUGGGGGGGCGCUCUUUUGGGGAGUAAAAAUUCCUUCACAAAUGUGUUGAUGGCUGGACAUUGCAUCAUCCUAGAAACCUUGGAGGCCAGUGAGGACAAAAAUAAAAAGUUAUAAGACUUUUAAGAAUGUGGAUUUUUGGGUUAUCUUUGGCGCCGCCUAGAACCUAAACCGUGGGGUGCAGCGUCAUGAUUUGUACAACUUUUAAUGGCCAUGGGGUGUAGAUUGGCCUGAGCAAAUGUGGUGCCGGUGGAACGAAAGCCUUCGGAGGAGUUAGCGAAAUUCCAAUGUGUGCGGAUCGGCAAAAAAAGCGAAAUAGCCCUUUAACCAUACAUUUGACAGAUACGCCCGCACUGACUUUUUCGUAGAUCUUAUUGAGAUACACAUGUGUGUCAAAUUUUCUGUCAUUUUGACAAAGCGUACAGGCAUCAGGUGAGUUUUCACCAUAGGGGGCGCUAUGGAGCCAUUUUUCAUUUUUUUGUUUGGACGACUUCAGAAUAUCAAAUUUUUCACCAGGCCCGGUCGUCCUGCCAAAUUUCCUGAGUUUUCGCCAGUGGGAAGUGGGCCAUUUUCCAGUUUAAAGCGGAGGAAAAAUAACGAAAGAAGAAUCCAUCAGGAACAAGAGGGCUCUCGCAGCUGCUUAGCAGCUACGCUCGGGCCCUAACGAAAGAAGGAAACAUGCAGGAACAAGAGGGCUCUCGCAGCUGCUUAGCAGCUACGCUCGGGCCCUAAGAAGAAUCCAUCAGGAAUAAUAGGGCUCUCGCAGCUGCUUAGCAGCUACGCUCGGGCCCUAAGAAAGAAAGAACUAGGACCCCGUUGGGGCACUGGCGGGCCCGAGCUGUGUCGCGCCCCCCCCCCAACGCGCUGCCUCCCCGUCCCAUUUGUGUCCUCUGGCCAUCGCCCUCUCUGGUAACGCCCAUCACUGCAAAGACCCUUUUCCUUCAUCGGCGUUUGCUGUUCUUCCUGCCAGUGCGUGUUGCUUUCACUUACACUUGCCACAGCCAGCCUCGUGAGUGCCUAGCCUAUUGGAUAUCACUGUCACCUACACAGGACAGUCAUUACCUUUCUAUUAAUACUUUGUUUUUUAAUUUCACAUUAAUUUCCAUAUUGUAUAAACAACUGGAAAAAACUUGAGCCCCUGCCCCUGUAUAAUCAUGUGCACGUCUCUGUUCUAGCUCUAAGGUGAAUCUUCACUGCUCAUGUUCUCCUCAGAAGCAGUCACCUCACUCCCCUCAGGUUACUGUACACAUGCACCAACUGCCUGCUUCAGGUUUGGAUGGAGCUUCAUGGUUGUCUUUUGGAGAAAUGACCAGUCAAGUUGUGUUUGAAAUUUGAUUUUUUUCAGGGGCAAAAGGAGCCUCUGCAUUCUUGUCAAAUAUGUAAAUAGCAUGUUUUUGCAGGUGCUAAAAACCAGACUCUGAGUGUGUGUGUGUGUGUGCGUGUGUGUGUGUGUCUGUGUGUGUGUGUGUGUGUGUGUGUGUGUGUGUGUGUGUGUGUGUGUGCGUUCAAGUCACAUGACAUAUUUAACCGGAUGUAGCUGCAAGACGGAGCCUCGUUGACUCUCCGUUUCAACUUAUCUCAAAAGUGAGGACCUCAACCUAUAUACCAGUUUUUAAAUUGUGUUGAUAGGCCAAAUAAAACCAGAGUUAUGAUAAAUUAUGUCCGCGAUACUUGUUUUCUGCUUAUUUUGAUCACGUUCGGCGCUCGAUCGCGCUGUAUGAGACAGGAAAACAUAGCAUGCAGACAUUAGCGACAGGUCUUACAGGCGGAAAAGGCUUGCCAAAGGAAAAAAAAAACACACCACAACAUCUCUCCUAUUGGUGGAAAACUUCACCACAACAACCAAUCCAAAAUUAUAUGGUGACUGAUUGACAAGGGGCGGGCGCUUACGUUCUUCCUGCAAUAUGAGAAGGGAGGGAGGGACUCUCAGCAGGGAUGCAGUCUGGGACACGUAGUUGCAAACCUAGCGACUUUGUUGUUAGAUUCAAUGACUUUUCAGACCCCCUAACGACGUUUUUUUAGAAAGAAAGUGACUUUUAUCGACUUCUUCUGGAGUUUAGAGACUCUGACAUGAAGCAGGCUUUCCUUACUGAGGAGUUAGCAACGCUGCUAAGGGUGCAGAGCCACACAUGCGCUCUGAGCUCUGCAUGGGAGACUGAAGCUGACAGAGCUGCAGCAGUUAGCAGGUUUCACCCUCAGAGACCACCAGGGGUUCAUGUUGAGGCAUUUUCAGUUUUUUUUUUUUUUUUGCCAUAGACACUGUCAGCACAAUCUGCAGUUACACUAACAAAAAUGCUGCAAAAAACAAAGAAUUAUGGAAAAAUUACACAUGGACUGACAUAGAGGAGGAUCUACACAAGUUUUUUACAUCAUGUUUUACAUCAUGCAUCAUUUACAUCAUGUUUUUUUGUAGUGGCAUAAAUAAAAAGUGACAUUUGUGAGACUAUACAGUGUUUUGUAAAUAAUUUUACAAAGAACACCUGGGCCAUUGCCUGCAUUUUGAUGUAAAUAGAGGUAAAUUACUAUGUUCUUUGUUAAAAAUUUGCAUAUGUUUUGAAGUUUACAAUUUUUAUUUGAAGUUUAAGUUUUAAAAACAGUUCAUCACACAUAUUUGUGGUUUUCACAGUAAAAACGUUACUUUUUUCCACUCGGAUUUUAUGUUUUGUGUGUGAAUUUGGGUCCAAUGUGUAAAUAUAGUAUGUCAAAAUGAUAAAAUAACUGUAAAUUGACACAGGUGAGGUUGUGCUGAAAAAAAUGAUACCAGGCAAGGCAAGGUAAAAAUUUUGUAAGAGGAAAUAUAAAGGUAAAAUCUAAAGUAGUCAAAAACGGCCAAUAGUGACUCACAGACUCCACAGACAAGUCCCUUUGGCGCCACUCAGUGGGCAAAACUACUUUGUCUACUGUAAUGUAUAUUUGGGUCAUCUUUGGCGCCCCCUAAAACGUAAACCGUGGGGUGCCGCGUCAUGAUUUUUACAACUUUGAAUGGCCAUGGAGUGUAGAUUGGCCUGAGCAAAUUUGGUGUCAGUGGGACGAAAGCCUUAGGAGGAGUUAGCGAAAUUCCAAUAUGUGCGAAUCGGCAAAAAAUGCAAAAUAGCCCUUUUACCGUACAUUAUACAGAUACGCGCUCUUGACUUUUUCGUAGAUCUAAUUGAGAUACACAUGAUUGUCAAUUUUUGUGUCAUUUUGCCAAAGCGUACAGGCGUGACAGUCAACAAUGUGUAUUUUCACCUUAGAGGACAAGAAAAAAUGGACUUUUUUCUCCUGCCAUGGGGGGGCGCUCUUUUAGGGAGUAAAAAUUCCUUCACAAAUGUGUUGAUGGCUGGACAUUGCAUCAUCCUAGAAAACUUGGAGGCCAGUGAGGACAAAAAUAAAAAGUUAUAAGACUUUUAAAAAUGUGGAUUUUUGGGUUAUCUUUGGCGCCCCCUAGAACGUAAACCGUGGGGUGCAGCGUCAUGAUUUGAAUAACUUUUAAUGGCCAUGGGGUGUAAUUUGGCCUGAGCAAAUGUGGUUCCGGUGGAACGAAAGCCUUCGGAGGAGUUAGCGAAAUUCCAAUGUGUGCGAAUCGGCAAAAAAUGCGGAAUAACCCUUUAACCGUACAUUUGACAGAUACGCGCCCAUUGACUCUUUUGUAGAUCUUAUUGAGAUACAUGUGUGUGUCAAUUUUUGUGUCAUUUUGACAAAGCGUACAGGCGUGACACUCAACAAUGUGUAUUUUCACCUUAGUGGACAAGAAAAAAUGGACUUUUUUCUCCUGCCAUGGGGGGGCGCUCUUUUGGGGAGUAAAAAUUCCUUCACAAAUGUGUUGAUGGCUGGACAUUGCAUCAUCCUAGAAAACUUGGAGGCCAGUGAGGACAAAAAUAAAAAGUUAUAAGACUUUGAAAUAUGUGGAUUUUAGUGUUAUCUUUGGCGCCCCCUAGAACCUAAACCGUGGGGUGCAGCGUCAUGAUUUGAAUAACUUUUAAUGGCCAUGGGGUGUAGAUUGGCCUGAGCAAAUGUGGUGCCGGUGGAACGAAAGCCUUCGGAGGAGUUAGCGAAAUUCCAAUGUGUGCGGAUCGGCAAAAAAUGCGCAAUAACCCUUUAACCGUACAUUUGACAGAUACGCCCGCACUGACUUUUUUGUAGAUCUUAUUGAGAUACAUGUGUGUGUCAAUUUUUGUGUCAUUUUGACAAAGCGUACAGGCGUGACAGUCAAUAGUGUGAAUUUUCACCUUAGGGGGCGCUAUGGAGCCAUUUUGCAUUUUCUUGUUUGGGCGACUUCGGAAUAUCAAAUUUUUCACCAGGCCCGGUCGUCCUGCCAAAUUUCCUGAGUUUUCGCCAGUGGGAAGUGGGCCAUUUUCCAGUUCAAAGGGGAGGAAAAAGAAGAAAGAAAGAAACAAAGAAAAACCCCUACAGGAAUAACAGGGCCUACGCCCGGCUGCUCUGCAGCUGGCUCGGGCCCUAAAGAAACAAAGAAAAACCACUUGGGGAAUAAUAGGGCCUACGCCCGGCUGCUCUGCAGCUGGCUCGGGCCCUAAAGAAGGAAACAUGCAGGAACAAGAGGGCUCUCGCAGCUGCUUAGCAGCUACGCUCGGGCCCUAAAGAAGAAUCCAUCAGGAACAAGAGGGCUCUCGCAGCUGCUUAGCAGCUACGCUCGGGCCCUAAAGAAAGAAAGAAGAAAGACUAGGGCCCCGGUGGGGCACUGGCGGGCCCGAGCCGUGUCGCGCCGCCCCCAGCGCGACCGCCUCCCCCUUCCGGUCGCGUCACACUCAAGGUCCAAAGAUGGUGUGCGCACUUGUCUGUGGUCAUUUACCAUUAUAAUGAAUGGGAGGCGCAGUUUCUACCAAAACGCUUGCUGCAGACAAACUCCAUGUCCUUUUUGAAAAAAGUCUGGACCAUGAGUGAGGGCACAAACACAGCUUCGAUAUAUCCAAAUGGCAAGUUGCUCCUCCUUUCGGUUUUGCCGAGAGAGCGAUGCGUUUGAGCCAUUGGGCGAUGGGCAGUAAAAACUUAACUUUUUCUCCUGCCAUGGGGUGGCGCUCUUUUGGGGAGUAAAAAUGCCUUCACAAAUGUGUUGAUGGCUGGACAUUGCAUCAUCCUAGAAAACUUGGAUGCCAGUGAGGACAAAAAUAAAAACUUAUAAAACUUUUAAGAAUGUAUAUUUUUGGGUUAUUUUUGGCGCCCCCUUGAAUGUAAACCGUGGGGUGCAGCGUCAUGAUUUGUACAACUUUUAAUGGCCAUGGGGGGUAGAUUGGCCUGCGCAAAUGUGGUGCCGGUCGAACGAAAGCCUUCGGAGGAGUUAGCGAAAUUCCAAUGUGUGCAGAUCUGCAAAAAAUGCAAAAUAACCCAUUAACCGUACAUUUGACAGAUACGCCCGCACUGACUUUUUUGUAGAUCUU